GAAUGUAACAAACUGUCCAGUGUCACACUCGACUUUUUAGUUAGACAUCCAUGCAUAAAUCUACGCACUUGUUGGUGUGUGUAAGUGUGCAACCGUUCGUCGAAAUACAAAACGCUCAGAAGUCGAUAUUUCAUUAUUCCUGAAUCAUUAAACUACAGAGUGUUAGUGCCGCCAAUCUAUUUGUGAGUAAUACCUGUCAAUUAAUGCAAGGCAGUUAAAAUCAUACGAACUAAGGAUCUUUACUCUUGCUUACAGAAGUCAUUCAACUCGAACACAAAUGAAUGUUGCUAUUUAUAAACAUUUAACGCGUAAUCACAGGGAUGUGAGUUCGAAUCUCAUGGUUGGCUGGUAACGUAUUUUUCUGCAAUGUAUGGAUAAUUUAUCCUGAUCACGCUGUUUAUUAGCAUCAUCAUGCGUUUGAGAAUAAAAUGAAUUAGUUCUGUAUCUUUCAAUACAUCUCAACGCUUCUAAAACAAACUUUGUUUACUUUCAUCUAAUUGUAUACAAUGUUGAACGUCGACCGGUUAAGUAGAAUAAUGGAUGUGGUGAAGAGAACUUUGUUAAUAAUUGAUCUCCCGAAGAACUUUGAUGCACCUUCGCUGGUAAAAUAUUUUGAACCGAUAUCUAAAAUAGACAAGGCUGAAACUUUUACAUAUUCUGAGACAAAACGAUGUGGGUACGUUAUAUUUCAUACAAAACAAGCAAUUUCUGAUAUUAAAAAUUCGGAUAAUUCUAAGUUUCAUGCUACCUGGUUUUUUGCAAAUCUUAUUAUGGCAACAAAGACAACCGAUUUAAAAAUUAACACCGAAUUCAACAAAAAGCAUUACUAUAUUUCCGCAAUUGAGAAUCGUAUCCUGAAGACACUCAAAAACUCUGCACCCGCUAAUGUACUGCCACAUGCCGGUGAAAAUAAAUAUAAAUUUUUUAAUCUUGCUUCGUUCAAAGAUUUCGAGAUGCAAUUGUCAAGAGGAAGGCUUGCUGCACUUUUACCAGAUUUCUCCAAUGUAGAUAUUUGUCUAUCACACUUUUUCAGCUUCUAUGAUUACGAUUACCACCUCAUCUCCAUAAAGAUAACAGCACUUACGCGAAGAUAGAUGGUUUUAUUUUCAGCAGUGUCUUAAGUACAUCCACAUCGGUCAAGAGAUAUCCUAUUAUCAUAAUCGACAGUGUAGAUGUGUAUACAAGCACAAAUUUGAGACGUUUAAAUAUACAUAUAUAACAAGAGACAUUAAUAUAUGAUGGUGAGUCGACAGAAAUAGAAAAGCGCUAGAUUUAAUUUUUACCUAACAUUCGUUUUUCACUCGUAUACUCUGAUUUUUUAAAUGGAUCCAGAAGACAUUUUUAUUCGAAGUACAGAACUUGUGCAUCAAUGACAUGAUUUUUUUUUUUUUAAAUUCAUUCAAAUAUGUCAUCAAUUUUCGUUUUCUCGUAGUAGUAGAAGCCAAUUAUGAUUUUCAAUGAAUCCGAUCGAUUCAGAAGGAAUAUAUUUCCAAUAUCAAAUAAAUUCUGCCUUUUGCAAAUCAAAUUUUGCACGGAAAAAUUGUUGCAAAGUAUUAUCGAUCAUCUUUGUCCUUCAGUAGCAUGUAUUCUGUAUAAAUAUUUAAAGAAUCCUGACUGACAGGGCAUUCUGGAGAAUUUUAGGAAGUUUGAAACUGAUUGUGUUGUUCCUUAUAUACUGAUGCAUGGCAAAAACAUUAACGACCAACCAAGAUGAUUCUGAUCUUGAGCCAAUCUCAGACAAAACUUGAGGCAUUCAUUAUAAAUAUCCGCUGUAUUUGUCGAUACCCAACGCAAACCUUGCAUACUUUGGGUUUUCAUAAAUUCUUGGGUACAUUUGGGCCACUGUUUCUAAAUAUGGCACUGGUUUCGCUUAACCAGCACUAAUUGUCUAUUAGCACCAAAAUAUCAUUAUCAUUGUAUUUUAUGUUAUUAAAAAACCACCUGUUAUAAAAUCAAUGUAUUUCGCACAACAGCUCAGCGGAAUGUAUAGUAAUUAUGAUUUAACAUAAUAAUAAUAAUGUAAAUGGUAUUUACUGCAUUAUUAGCACCAGAUAUGAUUAAGCAAAGGUCAACAA